UACGUAGGGAGCAAGCGUUAUCCGGAAUUAUUGGGUGUAAGGGUGCGUAGACGGGAUAACAAGUUGGUUGUGAAACCCCUCGGCUCAACUGAGGAACUGCAACCAAAACUAUUAUUCUUGAGUGCAGGAGAGGAAAGUGGAAUUCCUAGUGUAGCGGUGAAAUGCGUAGAUAUUAGGAAGAACACCGGUGGCGAAGGCGACUUUCUGGACUGUAACUGACGUUGAGGCACGAAAGUGUGGGGAGCAAACAGG
rnacentral:rRNA from 1 species